rnacentral:lncRNA from 1 species
CUAGAUAGAUUGUAAUAAAUUAAAAGAUUAUUUAUUAAAUUUUUAUAUAUAUUGAUAUGUAUAAUAGCACUAAUAAAAUUUUAAAUUAUAUAGACGGAUUAUAUGAAGUACAUCGUAGCGUGGCCCAACGAGGACCUAUUUUCUCAGCCCCUCCUUGAUCUCAAAAGAUAGCUUAGGGCCAUCGAAGGGGUCAGUAGGAGCUGGAUCACAG